AGUGGCGGACGGGUGAGUAACGCGUGAGAAUCUGCCUUGGGGUCGGGGACAACCACUGGAAACGGUGGCUAAUACCGGAUAAGCCGAUUGGUGAAAGAUUUAUUGCCCGAAGAGGAGCUCGCGUCUGAUUAGCUAGUUGGUGAGGUAAGAGCUCACCAAGGCAGCGAUCAGUAGCUGGUCUGAGAGGACGAUCAGCCACACUGGGACUGAGACACGGCCCAGACUCCUACGGGAGGCAGCAGUGGGGAAUUUUCCGCAAUGGGCGAAAGCCUGACGGAGCAAGACCGCGUGAGGGAGGAAGUCUCUUGGGUUGUAAACCUCUUUUCUCAGGGAAGAAGCUCUGACGGUACCUGAGGAAUCAGCCUCGGCUAACUCCGUGCCAGCAGCCGCGGUAAUACGGAGGAGGCAAGCGUUAUCCGGAAUUAUUGGGCGUAAAGCGUCCGCAGGUGGCGAUUCAAGUCUGCUGUCAAAGCACGGGGCUUAACUCCGUAAAGGCAGUGGAAACUGAAUAGCUAGAGUGCCGUAGGGGUAGAGGGAAUUCCCGGUGUAGCGGUGAAAUGCGUAGAGAUCGGGAAGAACAUCGGUGGCGAAAGCGCUCUACUGGACGGCAACUGACACUCAGGGACGAAAGCUAGGGGAGCGAAUGGGAUUAGAUACCCC
rnacentral:rRNA from 1 species